rnacentral:rRNA from 1 species
AUGAACGCUGGGCGGCAGGCCUACACAUGCAAGUCGAACGGUAGCACAGAGAGCUUGCUCUCGGGUGACGAGUGGCGGACGGGUGAGUAAUGUCUGGGAAACUGCCUGAUGGAGGGGGAUAACUACUGGAAACGGUAGCUAAUACCGCAUAACGUCGCAAGACCAAAGAGGGGGACCUUCGGGCCUCUUGCCAUCAGAUGUGCCCAGAUGGGAUUAGCUAGUAGGUGGGGUAAUGGCUCACCUAGGCGACGAUCCCUAGCUGGUCUGAGAGGAUGACCAGCCACACUGGAACUGAGACACGGUCCAGACUCCUACGGGAGGCAGCAGUGGGGAAUAUUGCACAAUGGGCGCAAGCCUGAUGCAGCCAUGCCGCGUGUAUGAAGAAGGCCUUCGGGUUGUAAAGUACUUUCAGCGGGGAGGAAGGUGUUGUGGUUAAUAACCGCAGCAAUUGACGUUACCCGCAGAAGAAGCACCGGCUAACUCCGUGCCAGCAGCCGCGGUAAUACGGAGGGUGCAAGCGUUAAUCGGAAAUACUGGGCGUAAAGCGCACGCAGGCGGUCUGUCAAGUCGGAUGUGAAAUCCCCGGGCUCACCUGGGAACUGCAUUCGAAACUGGCAGGCUAGAGUCUUGUAGAGGGGGUAGAAUUCCGGUGU